UACGUAGGGGGCUAGCGUUGUCCGGAAUCAUUGGGCGUAAAGAGCGUGUAGGCGGCCCGGUAAGUCCGCUGUGAAAGUCGGGGGCUCAACCCUCGAAUGCCGGUGGAUACUGUCGGGCUAGAGUGCGGAAGAGGCGAGUGGAAUUCCUGGUGUAGCGGUGAAAUGCGCAGAUAUCAGGAGGAACACCAGCGGCGAAGGCGGCGCUCUGGGCCGGAACUGACGCUGAGGAGCGAAAGCGUGGGGAGCAAACAGG
rnacentral:rRNA from 1 species